rnacentral:rRNA from 1 species
UACAGAGGUCCCAAGCGUUGUUCGGAUUCAUUGGGCGUAAAGGGCGCGUAGGCGGAUAGUACAGUCAGAUGUGAAAUUCCCGGGCUCAACCUGGGGGGCUGCAUUUGAUACGUGCUGUCUAGAGUCCGGAAGAGGGUGGUGGAAUUCCCAGUGUAGAGGUGAAAUUCGUAGAUAUUGGGAAGAACACCGGUGGCGAAGGCAGUGUCCUGGGGAGUACCUGACGCUCAGGUGCGAAAGCCAGGGGAGCGAACGGG